ACGAACGCUGGCGGCAUGCCUAACACAUGCAAGUCGAACGAUGCUUUCGGGCAUAGUGGCGCACGGGUGCGUAACGCGUGGGAAUCUGCCCUUGGGUUCGGAAUAACAGUUAGAAAUGACUGCUAAUACCGGAUGAUGUCGAUAAGACCAAAGAUUUAUCGCCUGAGGAUGAGCCCGCGUAGGAUUAGCUAGUUGGUGUGGUAAAGGCGCACCAAGGCGACGAUCCUUAGCUGGUCUGAGAGGAUGAUCAGCCACACUGGGACUGAGACACGGCCCAGACUCCUACGGGAGGCAGCAGUGGGGAAUAUUGGACAAUGGGCGCAAGCCUGAUCCAGCAAUGCCGCGUGAGUGAUGAAGGCCUUAGGGUUGUAAAGCUCUUUUACCCGUGAUGAUAAUGACAGUAGCGGGAGAAUAAGCCCCGGCUAACUCCGU
rnacentral:rRNA from 1 species